AGGCUGAGCCCCUGUUCCCGGGAAUGGCAGGGGCGCCCGCGCGAGGAGGGUCGCCGGGAGAGCCGCCUCUCCUCCAAGCUGGAGCAGCCGUGACCCAGAUUGCGACCGCGGCGGCCUCGCCCUGCCUAAUCCCCCCCUCUUCUUCCUCCAGGGGCACCCUUUGGAGAAGAACCCCAGCCUGGGGUGGGGACGCACCGGCUCUCCGACAGCUCAAACACAGACAGAUCUUCUAGAGCCGAGGGAAUUUCUUUUCGCAGAAGCCAUUACUCCCCCCGUUCUGAGGAUUCAGAAACAAGGAGGCCCCACUCGCUGCCCCCUGGAUGCUUCCAGCCCAGAAGGCACGAAGAUGAAGACAUGCCCAACUGCAGUACCCUGUGGUCAAUGCUACAUAGGAGCCCAGGAGUGCCAGAGAGAGAGAGAGAGAGGCCUGCUCCAGCCAUGCAGGAGACCAGCACAGACCCAUCAGUGAAGCCUGUUCUCAACAAACGCUUGUAAAUGACUCACUCCUACUGGGGUCUAGAGGACGAUGGAUCCCAGAUCAAGUUGCUUGUUGCCUCAUUUGUCAAGUUCUGCCUGUACAUCGGCUGUUCUUCCUUACGAUAAAUCUGAAGAUCAGAAACACGGCGGAACAACAAGCACGCAGGACAAGUCCAUCCUGCCCAUAACACCCUAGAGCAGGCUCAAAGCAGGAAAACAGCAUGAGUCACAUUCAGCAACAGACACACGGGGAACCCUGCUCUCCCCUCUACCCUGAGGAGAAACAACAACACCUUCCCUGCCUGGGGAAACUCCUACUCAUGCUAUCCGUCUCAGACAGCAGCUCCUCUGCGAAGCCAUCUUCCACUCUCUCAGAAAGAGUCCAUUGUUUCUUCCUCUGCGUUCUCUCUUGCCUCUAUUAAGGUGUUCAGCAGACAGUAUUGAAACGAUCUCCUUGCCUAUUUGGUAUUUUCCAGUAUGGCAGACACAUAUGGGAAUCAGUUCUGGGAGCACAGUGGUUUAAAAGGAUGCAGACCACCAAACAUCAGAAGAAGAGAAGUCAGGGUAGGGAAGGACCAGGAAACCUGUGCCCCAUGAGCGGACUGAGGGUUGAGUUGGUCCCGGACGUUGCUGUGUCUCGGUGUGAUUACCAAUAGCACCCAAGUUCAUUCUCAAAAGUGUCCUGGUUUAGUCCAUCACAUAUAUAAUCACCCUCCAUUUGAGAAAUAUGUAAAGAAGCCACAGGGAUUUGACCCACGGGAGCCUUGGGGAGUCCAUCACUGUCUUUAGUCAUUCAGGGUGCAGCCGCAUGCGCUGCGUGGCCUCAGGGGACCUGUGGGAGAGGAUGAUGUAACGAAAGCCUUUCCCCUAGUCUCUGUUUUGUUUACUGUUGGGCACCCAGGACUUGGCACCAUUCCUGGAAUAUAUUAAUCUCUUGAUAAAUAUUUGUGGGAGAGAGGAAGGAAGAGAGGGAGGAGGGGGGAAGAGGGUACAAUCUGGCAAAGAGCUGGUUGCAUUGCAGGCCUUGUCCCCUCAGUGGGGGCACCUGCCAGAGGCUGAAGGACCCCUUGCUGGGGAUGGCACAGAUGGUGUAUGGGCUGAAUUGCACCCCCCUCCCCCGAAAAGGAUAUGUCCAAGUCCUGACUCCCAGUGCUUCAGAAUGUGACUGUACUGGAAAUCUGGCUGUUGCAGGUGUUAGUUGAGAUGAGGUCAUACUGGAGUAGGAUAGGCUCCUAAUCCAAUAUGACAGGUGUCCUUACAAAAAGACUGUCAUGUGCAGACAGAGGCCUACAGGGAGAAGUCCACGUCUAGACAGGCAGAGGCUGGCAUGAUGCAUCUACAAGCCAGGGACUUCCAAGAUUGCCAGAAUACCACCAGAGUCUAGGAAGAGACAAGGAAGGAUUGUCCCAGAGGUUUCAGAGGGAGUCUGCCAACACCUUGAUUUCAGACUUCUAGCCUGCAGAACUGUGAGAAUACAUUUCUGUUGUUUAAGCCAUCCGGUUUGUGGGGGUUGUUUAUGCCAGCCCUAGGAAACUAACACGGAAGGAAUUCUGCCUUGGGUGGGAAGAUGCAUGAGAUGGAUGAUCUCUGGACUCACUAGGCUUCCAUCUCGGAGCCAGGCAGCAGUGAUGGAUUUGCCUCAGGCAGCCUUGCAGACCCACUGUGUGUCCAUCGAACUCUGCACUGGUGGUCUGCACCCAGGGAGCCAAGCACAAGCUCAUCUGAGCUAACUGCAGCACCAGCAUCCUGAAACCUCCCUUCACCGUCCAGCCGGUCAUGGGCUCAGGGCUCUUUGGCUCCUGGAACUUCAGAGUGAUGGAAACUCACAAAGACACCCAAGUCCACCCCUCCCUCACACCGCCAGAUUCCAGGCUUAGAGGCGUGGGGGAUACCUGGACUCUUUCCCUGCUCUGUGCUCUUUCCGUGUUGUCACAAGAAAUAACUCUGUGGUCUACUCAUUGUUUUCCAGAUAAGCCCCAACCUUCCCACCUGUAGGAAUCCCCUUUGCCAGAAAUUCCUCACCCCAGCCUCCUCCUCUCAGCCUGCCAAGACGCACUAAGAUAGGAGACCACUUCCUUCAGCUGAUCUCCUGUCCAGGGGAUCUCUGCUUCCCUCCAUCCCCAACCCUGCCCGCCACGCAGAAUCCUCUGGCCUCACUCCCAGGCAGUCCACCCUUACCUACCACUUGUCAUGGGCUACUUUGCAGGGGGCGAAUGACAUCUUCUUUCACCUCUAUUCUUGUUCCUGGUAGUCAUUCAAUCACCCACAGAUAUAUAUUGAGAACCUACCUUAUUGCAGAAGUUAAAUUGUCAAUAAGAAUAAAAAGACUAUAGUGUUGUUGGGAACAUGGAUACUUCAGCAUUCACUUACAAUACAGAGUCCCAAGCAGAAAAAUUGGAAAAAUACAGGCUGCCCUUGAGGUCAGAGCUGGAGAGAGUGGUGGGGAGCUGUCAGGCAAAGUCCACAAGCCUCCUCCCAGACCUCACUUCUCACCACUGGCCCCUUUCUCUCUGCCCCAGCCACUCUGAAUGUCUUGCUUUUUUCUCUGCACUCCAGCUUUAUUCCCACAGAGGUUUCGCACGUAUUUCCCCCAACCUUGAACAUCUGUGUCCCUCCCAUUCUUCUUUGUAUGACCAGCUCCCUUACUUCCGUGCUCCCUGCGUACCAUACCCAAAACAGCACCCUGCCGCUCUCUAGUUCCUUCCCUGCCCCACUGUGCUUCAGAACACUUGCCAUUAACA
ensembl:lncRNA MYCNOS MYCN opposite strand